rnacentral:rRNA from 1 species
UACAGAGGUGGCAAGCGUUGUUCGGAAUUACUGGGCGUAAAGGGCGCGUAGGCGGCCCUCUAAGUCAGACGUGAAAUCCCCCGGCUUAACCUGGGAACUGCGUCUGAUACUGGAAGGCUUGAGUAUGGGAGAGGGAUGUAGAAUUCCAGGUGUAGCGGUGAAAUGCGUAGAUAUCGAGAGGAACACCUGCGGCGAAGGCGGGUUGCUGGGCUGAUACUGACGCUGAGGCGCGAAAGCCAGGGGAGCGAACGGG